rnacentral:rRNA from 1 species
AGUCGAACGGCAGCACGGACUGGUCUGCGGCGAGUGGCGAACGGGUGAGUAAUGUAUCGGAACGCGCCCGGUAGUGAUAACUACGCGAAAGCGUAGCUAAUAUCGCAUACGCCCUUCGGGGGAAAGCGGGGACCUUCGGGCCUCGCACUAUUAGAGCGGCCGAUAUCAUGGAUUAGCUAGUUGGUGGGGUAACGGCUCACCAAGGCGACGAUCCGUAGCUGGUUUGAGAGACGAACAGCCACAUCUGACUGAGACAGCUGCCCAGACUCCUACGGGAGGCAGCAGUGGGGAAUUUUGGACAAUGGGGGAAACCCUGAUCCAGCCAUCCCGCGUGUGCGAUGAAGGCUCCUCGGGUUGUAAAGCACUUUUGGCAGAAAGAAACGGCACGGGAUAAUACCUCGUGCAACCGAUUGCACCGCGCAUUACACUGGCUAACUACGCCAGCGGUACGUAGGGUGCAAGCGUUAAUCGGAAUUACUGGGCGUAAGCGUGCAGGCGGUUCGGAAAGAAAGAUGUGAAAUCCCAGAGCUUAACUUUGGAACUGCAUUUUUAACUACCGAGCUAGAGGUGUCAGAGGGAGGUGGAAUUCCGCGUAGCAGUGAAAUGCGUAGAUAUGUGAGUGAACACCGAUGGCGAAGGCAGCUUCCUGGGAUAACACUGACGCUCAUGCACGAAAGCGUGGGGAGCAAACAGGAUUAGAUACCCUGGUAGUCCACGCCCUAAACGAUGUCAACUAUUGCUGGGGUUGCCUCGGCCUUCAGCAGCUAACGUGUGAAGUUGACCGCCUGGGGAGUACGGUCGCAAGAUUAAAACUCAAAGGAAUUGACGGGGACCUGCACAAGCGGUGGAUGAUGUGAUUAAUUUCGAUGCAACGCGAAACCUUACCUACCCUUGACAUGUCUGGAAUCCCGAAGAGAUUUGGGAGUGCUCGCAAGAGAACCGGAACACAGGUGCUGCAUGGUUGUCGUCAGCUCGUGUCGUGAGAUGUUGGGUUAAGUCCCGCAACGAGCGCAACCCUUGUCAUUAGUUGCUACGAAAGGGCACUCUAAUGAGACUGCCGGUGACAAACCGUAGGAAGGGGAUGACGUCAAGUCCUCAUGCGGCUCCCAGGUAGGGGCUUCACACGUCAUACAAUGGUCGGGACAGAGGGUCGCCAACCCGAGGGGGGAGCCAAUCCCAGAAACCCGAUCGUAGUCCGGAUCGCAGUCUGCAACCUCCGGAUCAGCAAGCUGAAUCGCUAGUAAUCAUGAUCAAAGGUAUGUCGCGGUGAAUACGUUCCCGGGUCUUGUACACACCGCUCCGUCACACCAUGGGAGUGGGUUUUACCAGAAGUAGUUAGCCUAACCGUAAGGAGGUUAUCAUUACUGUAUCUAUGACUGGGGUGAAGUCGUACAAGGUGUCCUUGCGCCAUUAACGACGCUCCCAGGAGGUGAUGAUGUAACUGAACCAAGCAUACC